CACGGGGGGAGCAAGCGUUGUUCGGAAUCACUGGGCGUAAAGGGCGUGUAGGCGGUCAGGUAAGUGAGAUGUGAAAUGCCCCGGCUCACCCGGGGACCGGCAUCUCAUACUGCUUGGCUUGAGUACGGGAGAGGAUGUGGGAAAUUCCUGGUGUAGCGGUGAAAUGCGUAGAUAUCGUGAGGAAGACCAGUGGCGAAGGCGGGUCUCUGGACAGUUCCUGACGCUGAGGCGCGGAAGGCCAGGGGAGCAAACGGG
rnacentral:rRNA from 1 species